rnacentral:lncRNA from 1 species
AAAAAAAGAGUGGUGUUCGGUGAUGUAUAAUAGAGAGGGAUUGUUUUUUAUAAAAAAUUAAAAAUUAAACAAAAUAAAACCAAUUAUAUCAUGACAAGUGGCAUGGGAGAUUAUUUGAACAAAAACAAAAAUAUAAUCUUCUUUCUCCUCACGAUCAAAAUAGAACACAAGGAGACAAAUCUUCUCCUUACUCUCUCCCUAUCUUGGGAUCUCUUUCUCGGCACCAAUCUUUUCAUCUCUCG